UACGGGGGGGGCAAGCGUUGUUCGGAAUUACUGGGCGUAAAGGGCUCGUAGGCGGCCAACUAAGUCAGACGUGAAAUCCCUCGGCUUAACCGGGGAACUGCGUCUGAUACUGGAUGGCUUGAGUGUGGGAGAGGGAUGCGGAAUUCCAGGUGUAGCGGUGAAAUGCGUAGAUAUCUGGAGGAACACCGGUGGCGAAGGCGACAUCCUGGACCACGACUGACGCUGAGGAGCGAAAGCCAGGGGAGCAAACGGG
rnacentral:rRNA from 1 species